rnacentral:rRNA from 1 species
GAUGAACGCUGGCGGCGUACUUAACACAUGCAAGUCGAACGGAACUGUUUGGAUGAAGUUUUCGGAUGGAUUUUAAACAGUUUAGUGGCGGACGGGUGAGUAACGCGUGGGUAACCUGCCUCACACUGGGGGAUAACAGUUAGAAAUAGCUGCUAAUACCGCAUAAGCGCACAGCUCCGCAUGGAGCAGUGUGAAAAACUCCGGUGGUGUGAGAUGGACCCGCGUCUGAUUAGCCAGUUGGCGGGGUAACGGCCCACCAAGGCGACGAUCAGUAGCCGGACUGAGAGGUUGGCCGGCCACAUUGGGACUGAGACACGGCCCAG